AUGCACAUCUUUGGUGGGCACAAGAAGGAGAGCUCCUUCAGAAUGAAAGCACACCGGCUGCUACUAAUGCUGCUGCCGACGGAACUUCCAUUGACCCUGGCAGAGACCCGGGCCCUGCCGAACACUCUCAGGUGGUCGCUGCCUCCUUCAUCAGCACUGCAGCCCAAUGAACUAAGAAGGCCUUUGUCGAAGGAGCAGAGGGAUGCAAACACCAGGACUCCGAAGACAACCACAUCAACUUCAAAGGGGAAGAUGAGUCAUUGCUCUGAGGGCAUCAAGGGCUGGGAGGGGCAGCGGGUGGCUCCCCUGAGCACCUCUGUGCCCGGCUUGUCCUUAGGGGUGCUUUGCCCUAGGAAAAAUCUGUGUCUUUUCACAGAUCAGACAUCAUUCCAAAGUGAUUUGUUGAUUUUUAUUACUUCAAAUUCGACUCCAAAAUGUGGGCCAAAAUUCAGGUGUGGUGAAUAUUUUAUUACACAGUUCUCAGGAGCCCCUUUGCUGUAAGGGUGGCUCCCAGGCUCCAGAAUUCUGCCAGGUUCCUGCAACUAGCUGCAGGCACAGAAACUGUGCCAGACCCUGUCCAAAGGGAUCCUACCACUCCUCACAAAUGUCCACUGUCACACCCCAGACCCCCAAACCCAAGCUCCCUCAGCGUCUUCCCUGGCAGUCCUGGCAGAAGCAGAUUCAGCUGCUCCUUAAACUUUCCAGGGAGGCCAGAAGCAGGGCCCAAUGCACUGCCCUAAACCUUCUGCCUGCUGCAGUCAGCUUGUGGAACAAAUCGGGAACAAACAGGCUCCCUCAUCCUCGCCACGGCCCUUCACACAGAUUUGAAAAUGACUCUCAGGGUUCCUCUACAUUUUCCUUUCAUCACACCAAACAGCCCCAGGCCCCUUGACUGCAUCUCACAUGAAACGUUUUCCAGAUGGCUCCCGAUGUUUGCCACCCUCCUCCAGAGCAUGUUUAACGGCCUCCCCAGAAACCACAAUAAAGUGCAGAUGCUGGUCCUGAGCAAUAAUCUCUACAUGUGCUUCUAUCAGCAGACUAGAACGGGACUGUCCUCUCUCUUGCAGAGGACACUUUGACUAUUAAUUCAGCCCAAGGCUACAUUCACUCUUCCAGCCAGUUCACUGUAUACUCGACUCGUCCUCAGCUUGAAGUCAUAACGCUUUCCGUAACACAUGCUGCCAAACAGGGCCUCG
rnacentral:lncRNA from 1 species